CCUACGGGAGACAGCAGUGAGGAAUAUUGGUCAAUGGACGAGAGUCUGAACCAGCCAAGUAGCGUGAAGGAUGACUGCCCUAUGGGUUGUAAACUUCUUUUAUAAAGGAAUAAAACGAGGCACGUGUGCCUUUUUGCAUGUACUUUAUGAAUAAGGAUCGGCUAACUCCGUGCCAGCAGCCGCGGUAAUACGGAGGAUCCGAGCGUUAUCCGGAUUUAUUGGGUUUAAAGGGAGCGUAGAUGGGUUGUUAAGUCAGUUGUGAAAGUUUGCGGCUCAACCGUAAAAUUGCAAUUGAUACUGGCAGUCUUGAGUACAGUUGAGGUAGGCGGAAUGCGUGGUGUAGCGGUGAAAUGCAUAGAUAUCACGCAGAACCCCGAUUGCGAAGGCAGCAUACCGGCGCCCUACUGACGCUGAGGCACGAAAGUGCGGGUAUCGAACAGGAUUAGAUACCCCUGUAGUC
rnacentral:rRNA from 1 species